rnacentral:rRNA from 1 species
AGUCGGACGGCAGCACAGAGAAGCUUGCUUCUUGGGUGGCGAGUGGCGAACGGGUGAGUAAUAUAUCGGAACGUACCGAGUAAUGGGGGAUAACUAAUCGAAAGAUUAGCUAAUACCGCAUAUUCUCUGAGGAGGAAAGCAGGGGACCUUCGGGCCUUGCGUUAUUCGAGCGGCCGAUAUCUGAUUAGCUAGUUGGUGGGGUAAAGGCCUACCAAGGCGACGAUCAGUAGCGGGUCUGAGAGGAUGAUCCGCCACACUGGGACUGAGACACGGCCCAGACUCCUACGGGAGGCAGCAGUGGGGAAUUUUGGACAAUGGGCGCAAGCCUGAUCCAGCCAUGCCGCGUGUCUGAAGAAGGCCUUCGGGUUGUAAAGGACUUUUGUCAGGGAAGAAAAGGCUGUUGCUAAUACCGACAGCUGAUGACGGUACCUGAAGAAUAAGCACCGGCUAA